rnacentral:rRNA from 1 species
GACAGAGGGUGCAAACGUUGUUCGGAAUUACUGGGCGUAAAGCGCGUGUAGGCUGCUUCGCAAGUCGGGUGUGAAAGCCCUGGGCUCAACCUAGGAAGUGCACUCGAAACUGCGAAGCUUGAGUCCUGGAGAGGAAGGCGGAAUUCUCGGUGUAGAGGUGAAAUUCGUAGAUAUCGAGAGGAACACCGGUGGCGAAGGCGGCCUUCUGGACAGUGACUGACGCUGAGACGCUAAAGCGUGGGGAGCAAACAGG